AUGCAAGUCGAGCGGAUGAGAAGAGCUUGCUCUUCGAGUUAGCGGCGGACGGGUGAGUAAUGCCUAGGAAUCUGCCUGGUAGUGGGGGACAACGUUUCGAAAGGAACGCUAAUACCGCAUAACGUCGCAAGACCAAAGAGGGGGACCUUCGGGCCUCUUGCCAUCGGAUGUGCCCAGAUGGGAUUAGCUAGUAGGUGGGGUAACGGCUCACCUAGGCGACGAUCCCUAGCUGGUCUGAGAGGAUGACCAGCCACACUGGAACUGAGACACGGUCCAGACUCCUACGGGAGGCAGCAGUGGGGAAUAUUGCACAAUGGGCGCAAGCCUGAUGCAGCCAUGCCGCGUGUAUGAAGAAGGCCUUCGGGUUGUAAAGUACUUUCAGCGGGGAUGAAGGGAGUAAAGUUAAUACCUUUGCUCAUUGACGUUACCCGCAGAAGAAGCACCGGCUAACUCCGUGCCAGCAGCCGCGGUAAUACGGAGGGUGCAAGCGUUAAUCGGAAUUACUGGGCGUAAAGCGCACGCAGGCGGUUUGUUAAGUCAGAUGUGAAAUCACCGGGCUCAACCUGGGAACUGCAUCUGAUGCUGGCAAGCUUGAGUCUCGUAGAGGGGGGUAGAAU
rnacentral:rRNA from 1 species